rnacentral:rRNA from 1 species
AGCGAACGCUGGCGGCAGGCCUAACACAUGCAAGUCGAACGAAGUCUUCGGACUUAGUGGCGGACGGGUGAGUAACACGUGGGAACGUGCCUUUAGGUUCGGAAUAACUCAGGGAAACUUGUGCUAAUACCGAAUGUGCCCUUCGGGGGAAAGAUUUAUCGCCUUUAGAGCGGCCCGCGUCUGAUUAGCUAGUUGGUGGGGUAAUGGCCCACCAAGGCUACGAUCAGUAGCUGGUCUGAGAGGAUGACCAGCCACAUUGGGACUGAGACACGGCCCAAACUCCUACGGGAGGCAGCAGUGGGGAAUCUUGCGCAAUGGGCGAAAGCCUGACGCAGCCGUGCCGCGUGGAUGAUGAAGGUCUUAGGAUUGUAAAAUCCUUUCACCGGUGAAGAUAAUGACUGUAGCCGGAGAAGAAGCCCCGGCUAACUUCGUGCCAGCCGCCGCCGUAACAC